rnacentral:tRNA from 1 species
GCCGGGGUGGCUCAGUUGGUUAAGCUUCUGACUUUGGCUCAGGUCAUGAUCUCACCCGUGUGGGUUCAAGCCCUGCCUUGGGCU